UAUAAAUGUAAAUUAUAAUUACUAAAGAAGUAUUAGUUAUGUUCUUGAAAUUUAAAAAAUUUGGCGGUAUUUUAGUCUAUUUAGAGGAACCUGUUCUAUAAUUGAUAGUCCACGAGAAAUUAUACUUGAAUUAUUAAUUUGUAUACCGUCGUUAUUAGAAAAUUUUAAAAGAAAAUAAAUUUUUAAUAUUUUAAAUUAAAUUAUAAAUCAGAUCAAGGUGCAGUUUAUGUUCAAGGAGAAAUGGGUUACAAUAAAUUUAUUUAAACGAAUAAAAUUAAGAAUUUAAUUUUUAAAGGUGGAUUUAAUAGUAAUAUAAUUUAUUUUAAUUAUAUGAUUUUAGCUCUAAAAUAUGU
rnacentral:rRNA from 1 species